CCCAACCGGAGUACGAGGAGCCGUUCUCCGACGACGACGAGGACGAAGAUGAUCAGUUGUCAAACACCUCUAACCCCCGUCCUGCCAUCGUCGGACCGGCACGCUCAAACAGCAAGAAGAAAGAAAUAACUGUUCCGCACUCACCUGCCCUCUUGAAUCUUUGUUGCGGCGCCGACUCGGCAGCUGUGAGAGGUGGGCAGCGCGGACACUUCUUGGAGCAGCCCAUUGCAUUGAGCGUAGCGCUGCCAAGUGAACAGCACACGUUCAUGAGGCGCCGCUGCUGAGAAUUGAUUUACGCGUGCGCAGAACCACCGGCACCCAGGCUUGCUGCAUUUAUUUUGGGGAUGGAGCGGCCACUCUCGCGAGAAAGGGAGCCGCUAAUCGGUUGAAGGGUAUCCUGCAGGUGCGAAGGAGAAUGUCAGUAUCGCUGGCUGGGCCAAUAUUUUAACAAAGGGCAUUUAAGAGUCAAACACAUUGCUGUGGGUUUAAAGUCACAUAUAGGCUGAACCAGAAUGAAAGACAGCAUGACUUGAGACAGACAAGGGGAAGAAUAGAAAGAAGACCUUCGGGGCAUGCAGCCAGUGAAAACUCCGGAGACCAACCAUCCCAGAAGCAUAACCUAUGACAAGGAUGUGGUGGUGACAUCGAGUGCAGACGCCUGGCCAGUGUUACCUCUCGUCAGCAGCAGCAGCUAUCCUGAACAGUAUCCGACAUCUGCUCAAGGGAUUGGUGUGGAUCUUCACUUUGAAGAACAGAGGAAAAUGGAUGAAAAUGCAUCAGCUGUCUUUUUAAGUAAAUAAUAUGUGCAGCCUAUAAUCCCCCACAUCUUUCCUUCAGUUAUCCUGUAUUUUCCCCUUUGUGUCUGUCAUAUUUCCGUAAACAUCAGCCACAUCUCUUCCUAUUCUCUACUUAUCUUCCCCAUAGUUCCCACCACCAUUCUGCCCCAGCCACCCCAUAAUACUUUCCCCACAGUUUGUCCCACAUUAUGUUUUACAUAACAUAAGCAGAAAUUGCAGGGGAAACUCAGCUUUUCUGGUGGCAUCUGUGAAAAAGAGAAACGGAGUUAAUGUUUUAUGUCCAUUGACCCUUUUUUGACCCAGGUACUGUCAGACCUGCUGAGUUUCUCCACCAAUUUCUGUUUUUGUUUCAGACUUCCUGCAUCCACAAUUCUUUGCUUUAUUGCCACAUUGUGUUUUGUUGGGUGUUGAAUGUAUAACACUGUCUAAUCUCCCAAACUAAUGCUGCUCAUGUCCAUAGAACCUUCUGCAAGAACUCUUAAUUUUGCAACUUGAUCUAUAUAGACAUUAUCUUCACAUCAGCUCAGAAGCUCUGUUCCUAUUCACCCUCGCCCUAUGACAUCAAAUACAUCUUGUGUAUGUGAUCACCAUCAUUAUAUAUGUCUCUGACAGUAAUCGCAUUACUCUACAUCUCCCCGAAGUCUUUGACUGUAUUAUAUUUACAUUCAAAAGAUCUCCCCUAAGUCUCAAACUUCAAAGAGUUAGUUUCUUUGCUUUAACCAAUCUUCUAGAUUUGUUUCUGAUCUCAUUCUGUGGUUGAGUAUAUUCUGGACUCUCCUUUCUGUUACAGUGUAUGCUCAUCUCCAAGUGGAUAUAGAGGUUUCUUCUUCUUAUAUGUCCAAGUUUCUUUUGCUUUCUUGUUGAAAUGUAUCAAUGCAGUAUGUAUAAAGUCCCUCUAGAUGUUAUUAUGCAAAGUUAAAGUAAAUGGGAUUGGUAGUAAUAUAUUGGCACGGAUUGAGAAUUGGUUACCCAAUCUGAAAAUUGUUCACAUGCUCAUGUUGCUGUGAUGCAACACUGUUCUGUUAUCCUGACAUCUUGGAGAACUUGAAAGAUAAAUUUGUGUUUUUCUUGACUGUGACAAUCAUUCCAUUCACUGACUCCAGGGACUACACAGUAAGGGAACACUCAUUUAUAACUGAGAUAUUAAGAAAUUUCUAGUCCCAGAAUGUAUUGAAUGUCUGGAAUUCUCUACCUCAGAGGAUAGGGAAAGCUAGAUCACUGAAAAUAUUUAAUGAGGAGGUUGAUAGUGUUUUGAAAUAUUAGGGAGUUGAGGGCUAUGAUGAUUUGAGGCUAUGAACAAGGAGUAGAUCGGUCAUGAUCUCGUUGCAUUGAUGGGCAGGUUUGAGGGGCCAAAAUAGCCUACUUCUGCUCCUAUUUCCUAUGUUUUAUAUUCACUGCUUCCUCAUAUAAUAUUUUCUCCCUUCAUGUUUUGCUGCGUGUUUAGUGUCUAAUUUGGUUCUCCCAAAUUAACAAUGCAUUAGUCAAUGGAACUUCCAACAAGAAUUAUUCAUUUAUAACUUGAUCUGUAUACCCGUUAGGCCACAGUUUCCAAAGAGUGACAAUCUUACUUAGAUUGCUACUUUGCUCCUUUUUUACAUCACCAAAAACCUCUGCAUAUCUGACAGGAGAUUCCUUUGAAGGCACCUUCAGAAAUACAGAACUGUAUUUCUAUUCUGACAGGCCUGUCAAACCACACCCCUUUUUAUGCAGUAGUGGAAGAGCAGGGGUCUUGGAUCUGGAGAAGGAGGGAUUGCAGCAGAGAAGUGGGGAUUCCAGAACGGAACAGUGUAAAAGCUGUCAGGCCCAGAGUGAGUCAGGUCAGAGAGAAUGCAUGGGCUCAGGGGGAUACUGAGUGGCAUGGAGAUGGAGGGGGCUGAUGGUGUUGGCCCGCUUGGGGAGAUGGAGGCAGUUAGGUUAUUGACCAAGAGGUGCCAAGUGUGGGGAGAGGCAGAUUGUCAAGCCAGAUGAAUUUGGGAGGAAUGGCUAAGGGUGUCUGAAAUUAGUUGGGGGAUCAGUUUAGCAGAUUCUCAGGAGUUAGACUAAGUGUUUAAUAUUCCAACCUUUGCAGAACUCUCCAAAUCCUCCAAUUUAAAUUAAUACUUUCAGAGAGUUCCAGGCUGAGGAGAAUUGUCCAGUAGAAUCUUACAUUUACCUGGAAAUUCCUUUGGGGCUCACUAAAAUGGGCAUUCUGCAAGGUUCCCAUGCAUAACUUGCAUCUGCUCCGCAUUAGCGUCUGUCUGGCCAUAGUAAAAUCUGGGCCAUAUUUUAACACUAGGUUACAUCUUCUGCUCCCUUCCAGCUCUAACUAUCUAAUCCUGUGACUCUGACAUGAUCACUAAAUCGUCAUCAUCAUUCGUCAUGUUUGCUGUUAAUAUUAAUUCCAUUACUUCACAUUCAAUAUUGCUAAGUGCCACAUUUAACUCAUUCAGUUGAGCUAAGACUGCUUAAGAA